rnacentral:rRNA from 1 species
AUUGAACGCUGGCGGCAGGCCUAACACAUGCAAGUCGAACGGUAACAGGAAGCAGCUUGCUGCUUUGCUGACGAGUGGCGGACGGGUGAGUAAUGUCUGGGAAACUGCCCGAUGGAGGGGGAUAACUACUGGAAACGGUAGCUAAUACCGCAUAACGUCGCAAGACCAAAGAGGGGGACCUUAGGGCCCCUUGCCAUCGGAUGUGCCCAGAUGGGAUUAGCUAGUAGGUGGGGUAACGGCUCACCUAGGCGACGAUCCCUAGCUGGUCUGAGAGGAUGACCAGCCACACUGGAACUGAGACACGGUCCAGACUCCUACGGGAGGCAGCAGUGGGGAAUAUUGCACAAUGGGCGCAAGCCUGAUGCAGCCAUGCCGCGUGUAGGAAGGAGGCCUUCGGGUUGUAAAGUACUUUCAGCGGGGAGGAAGGGAGUAAAGUUAAUACCUUUGCUCAUUGACGUUACCCGCAGAAGAAGCACCGGCUAACUCCGUGC